rnacentral:rRNA from 1 species
UAAGGAAUAUUGGUCAAUGGGCGCAAGCCUGAACCAGCCAUGCCGCGUGCAGGAAGACGGCCCUAUGGGUUGUAAACUGCUUUUAUCAGGGAAUAAACCCCCGCUCGUGAGCGGGGCUGAAGGUACCUGAAGAAUAAGCAUCGGCUAACUCCGUGCCAGCAGCCGCGGCAAUACGGAGGAUGCAAGCGUUAUCCGGAUUCAUUGGGUUUAAAGGGUGCGCAGGCGGAUUGGUAAGUCAGGGGUGAAAGCCCGCAGCUCAACUGUGGAACUGCCUUUGAUACUGUCAGUCUAGAGUAUAGUUGAAGUGGGCGGAAUGUGUCAUGUAGCGGUGAAAUGCUUAGAUAUGACACAGAACACCGAUCGCGAAGGCAGCUCGCUAAGCUAUAACUGACGCUCAUGCACGAAAGCGUGGGGAUCAAACAG